AUUGAUGUCGCCUUAUUUGCGGAUAACUCUUUCGCCUUUUACUAAAGAUUUCCGCGGGGAGGCACAAUACAAU
rnacentral:snRNA from 1 species